CAGACACGUCCACCGUGAGCCUUUCUGCCUUUUGUGGUGUGGUGACCAUCUGUGCUGCACAUGCAAGGAAUGUCUGAGCUCUCCGGGCAGAUAAACAGGGCAAUCUCCUUUGUGAGGGGGUGAAUAAACAAAUUUUCUUAAGGGGAGCAGAGGAUGGUUUAUUGGUUUUUAUCUUUGAUUGGUUUUACUUAAGCUACUAUUAUUAUCAUCAUCUUUUGUAGUACCACUGCCAGGCCACAGACCCUGUUUUUGCUGGAUACUGCAUUAACAAGCGUGUAACAAACCUGAGUGCUUGACCUGAGGAAUCUCACUGCUCUGCCUUGUGGAAGGAUUCCUACUGUAAGAGCUCGUGACCUGUGUGUGCAGGUGACUGACAGCAGCCAUGACUGCCAAACGAACAGGAGAAGAGAUGAAGACAUGACUUGUGCUGAGGAUGCACUCAAAUGAAAAGGCAGAAAGGCAAUUAAGUGAUCUGUCCAUAGAUGCUACUGCCAUCUCCAGAAGAAAAAAAUUAAUGCUUGAUCAGAAUAAGAAAUUUAUUAAACUCUGGCUAAUGGUACUCUCCUUCAACCUAAACACCACUGCUGGAAUAGGAUAUUCAAAAUCUUCCUGUCUCCUGGAAAGUCCAUGGAGUUGGAGGCAGUAUGACGGAAACCUCGGCUAGGAAAGAAAUGCAUUUGGAAUGAAAAAACAUCAGAUGCAUGUGAACAUUGCUGCUUUGUAAGCCAUAGAAAAUAUUAUUUAUAAAGAAAUGCUGACUGGGACUAGAGAUUUCAAGAACGAUUCCUUCUGUGUAUUAUCCUUCAGCUGUAUCCUGCAUGAAGCCAGGGCUUUGUCAGAGCAGAGGAGCCGAGAUUGGUUAAUACUCAGACAGCCUGCUGAAGUUCCAGUCUGGUUUUCUAAUUUAGAAGUGCUACUGGAUGACAUAAAUGUUCAAAUCAAGGAAACUAAAAACACUGAAGGGUAAUCAGUGAGCAAUCCUUGAAAAAAAUACACAACUGAGAGACUGGACAAAGCCAACAAGAAAAAGGGUGUUUAAUCUUUUCAGAGCCCUUCUCACCUCUGAGAAGACUACAAGAGAAAAAGGUUAAAGGCAGAUAAUGGUAACACAGGUUUGGGGAAAAUAUUGG